CGCGGUAUUAUGACCGUGCGAAGGUAGCAUAAUCAAUAGUCUAUUAAAUGUGGUCUGGAAUGAAUGGUUUGACGGGGAGUAUCUUUUUUAACUUUAUGGUUGAAUUUUAAUUAUUAGUGAAAAUGCUAAUGUGUUUUAGGGGGACGAGAAGACCCUAUAGAGCUUUACAUAUAAUUAAGAGUUUAGUGGUAUUUUUUCUUAAUAUAUGUUUUGUUGGGGCGACAAUAAAUUUAAACAUUUAUAAUAUUGUCUACAAUUAAAGGAUUUUGAUCCAUUAAUAAUGAUUACUAGACUAAGUUACCUUAGGGAUAACAGCGUAAUUUUAUUUUAGAGUUCUUAUCGAUAAUAAAGUUUGCGACCUCGAUGUUGGAUUAAGAUCCUUUUAAGGUGCAGUAGCUUUAAAAAGUAGUCUGUUCGACUAUUAAAUUCUUACAUGAUCUGAGUUC
rnacentral:rRNA from 1 species